rnacentral:rRNA from 1 species
GACAAGAAAUAACAAUACGGGGCUUAAAGUCUUGUAAUUGGAAUGAUGGGAAUUUAAACCUCUUCCAGAGUAUCAAUUGGAGGGCAAGUCUGGUGCCAGCAGCCGCGGUAAUUCCAGCUCCAAUAGCGUAUAUUAAAAUUGUUGCAGUUAAAAAGCUCGUAGUUGAAUUUCUGCUGCAUUGCUUGUGUCCCUCUUGGGUCUGUGCAUGUGGCUUUUUUCGGACGGAGUUUCUUUGUCUGAAUGUUUACUUUGAGAAAAUUAGAGUGCUCAAAGCAGGCUUUCGCCUUGAAUAGUUUAGCAUGGAAUAAUAAAGUAGGACUUUGGUUCUAUUUUGUUGGUUUUAGGUACCAAAGUAAUGGUUAAUAGGAACAGUUGGGGGCAUUCGUAUUUAACUGUCAGAGGUGAAAUUCUUAG